UAAACAUCACGUGAUAACUGCACGUGUUGGAUGUAGAGGAGGUGGGAAGCGGGUUUGUAACACCUGUCCAUAUGUGUAAGAUAACAUUCAAUUUCAAGUGUUACUCGAAUAAUGUUUUGCAACUUUGUAAUUGGAUCUACUAGUGAGUACUACAUCUACUCUGUUCAGUCUUGCACGUGCAUAUUACGUUAAUUACUAUUUACAGCGAUAGAAGUGACUGAAGUUUACUGCUGUGUGAAAUGGUUACAUUAUAAAUGUGGACUUGUUCUUCCACUUAUGACAUUUCUUGCACAUGAGAGUGGUAGUAUCUGAAGUUAUCCAACCACAUCAGUUUACCUGUACGGAAGGCAUAGCCAACUUUGUUUCAUACAACUAUAUCAUCUUGGAACUUCAAAAAUAAUGAAGGAAAGUACAGAAGACUUGAUAAAAACUGAACAGAAGCCUCAAGAAGAUGAACGUCCUGUUUCAACAGCAUCCGUCUCUGCGGACUAUGGAAGCAUGGACAAUGCUCCACCAACUUACGAAGAAGCUCCAAAAGGUAUUAAUUUGAAAACUGGAAGAUAAGUAUCAAUACAU